rnacentral:rRNA from 1 species
UACGUAGGGGGCAAGCGUUGUCCGGAUUUAUUGGGCGUAAAGAGCGUGUAGGCGGUCAGGUAGGUCCGUUGUGAAAACUCGAGGCUCAACCUCGAGACGCCGAUGGAAACCAUCUGACUAGAGUCCGGAAGAGGAGAGUGGAAUUCCUGGUGUAGCGGUGAAAUGCGCAGAUAUCGGGAAGAACACCCGUGGCGAAGGCGGUUCUCUGGGACGGUACUGACGCUGAGGUGCGAAAGCGUGGGGAGCAAACAGG